GAGAGUUUGAUUCUGGCUCAGGACGAACGCUGGCGGCGUGCCUAACACAUGCAAGUCGAGCGAAUGAAGUUCCUUCGGGAAUGGAUUUAGCGGCGGACGGGUGAGUAACACGUGGGCAACCUGCCUCAUAGAGGGGAAUAGCCUUCCGAAAGGGAGAUUAAUACCGCAUAAGAUUGUAGUACCGCAUGGUACAGCAAUUAAAGGAGCAAUCCGCUAUGAGAUGGGCCCGCGGCGCAUUAGCUAGUUGGUGAGGUAACGGCUCACCAAGGCGACGAUGCGUAGCCGACCUGAGAGGGUGAUCGGCCACAUUGGGACUGAGACACGGCCCAGACUCCUACGGGAGGCAGCAGUGGGGAAUAUUGCACAAUGGGGGAAACCCUGAUGCAGCAACGCCGCGUGAGUGAUGACGGCCUUCGGGUUGUAAAGCUCUGUCUCUCAGGGACGAUAAUGACGGUACCUGAGGAGGAAGCCACG
rnacentral:rRNA from 1 species